rnacentral:rRNA from 1 species
AAAAACAUGUCUCUUAGAAGUUAUUAAGAGUCAGGCCUGCCCAGUGAUUGCUUUUUAACGGCCGCGGUACCCUGACCGUGCAAAGGUAGCAUAAUCAUUUGCCUUUUAAUUGAAGGCUGGUAUGAAUGGUUUGACGAGAGUAAAGCUGUCUCACAUAUGCUUAAUAAAAAUUAAUUUAAAGGUGCAAAAGCCUUUAUAAAUCAAAAAGACGAGAAGACCCUGUUGAGCUUUAAUUUAAACCAAGUAUUAACUAUAUAUUUAUAUAAUUUAUAUACUUAGUAAAAAUUUUAAUUGGGGCGAUUAAGGAACACUCAAAAGCUUCCUGACUAUUUCUUCUACAAUAUUCUAUAGAUUAGAUCGAUCCAGCAAUGCUGAUCAACAAAAUGAGUUACCACAGGGAUAACAGCAUAAUUCUUUUUGAGAGCUCAUAUCGAAAAAAGAGAUUGUGACCUCGAUGUUGGACUAGGGUAACCGGAAGGUGCAGCCGCUUUCCCGCUUGGUCUGUUCGACCAAUAAUUCCCUACGUGAUCUGAGUUCAGACCGGA